rnacentral:piRNA from 1 species
UAAUAAAUACCCUCAAAGCUGAAGUC